rnacentral:rRNA from 1 species
UACGGAGGGUCCAAGCGUUAUCCGGAAUCAUUGGGUUUAAAGGGUCUGUAGGCGGUUUUGUAAGUCAGUGGUGAAAGCCCAUCGCUCAACGGUGGAACGGCCAUUGAUACUGCAAGACUUGAAUUAUUGGGAAGUAACUAGAAUAUGUAGUGUAGCGGUGAAAUGCUUAGAGAUUACAUGGAAUACCAAUUGCGAAGGCAGGUUACUACCAAUAUAUUGACGCUGAUGGACGAAAGCGUGGGGAGCGAACAGG